GUGAAUGUAGCUCAGUGGUAGAGUACAGGCCUAGCAUGCAUGAGGUUCUGGGUUCAAUCCCUAGUACUUCCA
rnacentral:tRNA from 1 species